rnacentral:lncRNA from 1 species
CAAACGUGAAGCAGUGUAGGAAAAGCUUGAAAUUUGAGCAUAUUCUCCUAGUAAGUAAAUAUCGUCUUUCCUCAUUUCAUUGUUUGUGGCCUUGUUGGCAAUAUUGAAAUUGAACAAUGUUGUCUUAUUGGCUUUAUGAGUUGUUUUUGUUGCUUGUUGGUUUAAUGAAUUGUUUUUGUUGCGACGUUACCUUAAUGAAUUAUUUUUUCUCCCUUGUUAUCUUAAAUUUUAGCCCGUGCGUGUGAAACUCCUGGAUCUGCCCCUGAUACAAAGUACUUUAGCAUAACAUAUUAAUGUAAGAAAUACAAGGAAAAUAAAAGAAAGUGAUCACUCGAAUAAUUAAACUAUGAAGAGAAUCUGGAAUUCUUCAAUUAAAGCCUUCAAAUCCAUAUCCAAAUGAUUGAAUUCUAUGUUCUUUGAUAUAUAUUCUCUUUGUUUUCUCUCAAAGGUUAGCUCUCUAUAUGAUCCCCUUAGGUCUGGACAUGUUCUCCUAUUUAUAUGAUGCCAAGAAGGUUGUUUACCAAAAUAAAAUAAAGAAACCUAAAUUUUUUCGCCGUUUACCACUGAGGCAUGUGCCUAGUGUAAUUUAGGGUACAUGCAUGGGAGCCUUGGGUGCCUCAGUCACCUCAUUGGUUAAGGGCGCGUAUCAUAACUUUCUCUCCCGAUAUUUGAUUGAAGUGAUUGAAUGUGCAUUGAAAAUCUUACUCAUAGGGCUAUAAUUUUUCUAGAAUUAUCAUUUUUUCAAUUUGAACAUUCGCUAUGCCAAUAUUGGGUCUCAAUAUGAAGUUGAAAAUUAGAAGCAUAACUUUUUCGUAUGGAAGUUGAUGUAUGAUAAUAUUUUGACUAUAAUUAAUCCUUUUGACUUCGUUCCUCAUCCAAUUGACCACGAGCACUUUAAAUCUUCAUCAGGAGGUCCAAAACAUUUUUUGAGUAUUUGCAUUUUAGUCCUCGAACUUUGGAUUUGCUUUGUUUUAGCCCUUUCUCAUUCUUUCUUCCAAUUAUUCUUCGAAAGAUGAAAUUUUCCUAAUAAAAGUAGUAAAUAACAAAUUAGGUACUAAUCCAUUCAAAGAAUAACAAAAUAUCAUCAUUUAGGAUUCUAAAUAAGUGUAGAAAUUACACUUAUCAUGUGGAUGUUCUAUCAAGGUUUCAUUGCAAAACAAGAGUGGCGGGUGAUCCUUAAACUUGACUAAUAAGUAGAUUUGAUUUUUCAAAAUAAAUUAGUGUUAAAUGUACUUCUUGACAAUGGGAGGUAAGUACGCGCACCCUUCCUUUAGAAGAGCAUUUAUGGGACACCAGUUGUUGGAAAAGGGGUUAUGGUGGCAUGUUGGUAAUGGAAAACAUGUGCAAGUUUAUUAGGAAUUCAAGUUGAUGUCAACACCAUAUGGGGAUGUCACUCUUGUUCGAGUCUGGAUUGCUGCUCCAAGCAUGUAGUAUNNNNNNNNNNNNNNNNNNNNNNNNNNNNNNNNNNNNNNNNNNNNNNNNNNNNNNNNNNNNNNNNNNNNNNNNNNNNNNNNNNNNNNNNNNNNNNNNNNNNNNNNNNNNNNNNNNNNNNNNNNNNNNNNNNNNNNUCUAGUCAGGUGAUGCUGAAGCAUUUGCUUUGCGAGAAGGUUUGAUGCUGGCAGAAGGUGUGGUUAAUUGUGGUUCUUAUUGCUUUAUACCUCGAGGGGAAAUGUAGCUCACGAACUAGAAUGUUUUGUUAUUUUUGGUUCAUUCACUACUUGGAUUUUUUGUAUUUCAGUUUUUAUAUUACCUACUUUUCAAGAUGAUUUUGAUUAAUACACAUAUGAAGGUGUUGAAAGAAGGGGGGGGGGGGAAUACAAGUGAAUAAAGAAUGCCCUAUAACUCAUUACAAACAUUUUAUGAGGGAUGGUAGUAUUUCAUUUUUACAAAUUGAAUGUUCCUAUUAGUUAGUGAAUUUGUAAUUAUUCAAGCAAUUAUGAUGAUAAUAUAUUUUAUAUCAAUAAGAAAAUUUCAUUCAUAUAAUUUGACAUAUUCUAGAAUGCUUUUGAAAUAACAUAUUUAAGAAAUGGACAAGAAUCCUGCAAGUUGAAAAGUCCAUUUCCAUUUCCAUAUUUAUUUAGGGACAGUGAUGUAUAAUCAUAAUUAAUAUUUAGGGUAAUAUUACUUCGAGAGUAUUAAAAAAAAAAAAAGUAUGACAUGAACUUGCUCAUUUCAGAUUUGCGUAUGUUGAUUGUGCUAUUUUCUACUUUAUUACCAAAAUUGGCAAUACAGUUUCUUGUGGUUAGUGCUGUGUUGAUUAAUUGGUUUUAUGUUAUUACACUUUUAGGCUCUGUUUAAGUCGCAUUCUUUCAAAAAAUACAUUCUUAAACAAUGAUUUGAUAUGAUUUAAACUACGCAUUUUUCAAUAAAAUAAUAUUACACGCAAAUUCAAAACUUUUUUUUUUUCAUUUUUUAACCACACAUUUUCCACCAAUCACUAUUUCAAAUUAUAUUUUUCAAAAUAAAGUGGCUCAAACACACAUUUACCCCCUGUUUGAGUCUCAUUCUUUUGAAAAAAUACAUCUUUCAACAGUAUUUUGAGAUCAUUUCACCAACGUAUUCUUCAAUAAAAUAAUAUUACAUGUAAAUCCAAUUUUUUUUUCUUAUUUUUAACCACACAUUUCCUAUCAAUACAUUAUUUAAAAAUACAUUCUUAGAAAAAGAAUGAGGUUCAAACAAGAGCUUAAUUACGUAUGCAGUUGCACCAAAAAAAUAUUUAAUGAAUUUUCAAUUAGCUUUAUUAAAUUCUUUUUAAAUAUUAAAUUAUGCCGGCUUUUUAAUUAUAUAUCAACCUUUUUUUUUUAAAUCCAUUUUAUAAUUUUUUAAAUUUAAUAGCAAUAGUUAUAAUUUUUUUUCUUUUUUAACUAAAAUGAUCUCAUCUAAUAAAUAAUAAAAAGAAAGUAAUUUAAUUUAAAUAUUAAAAAUAGUACGUAAGGGUAAAAUGAAAAUGAUUAUUAUUUACCUUUUGCUGAGGAGAGAAUAUGUUAUCAAGAGAAAUUUUUUUAGGAGAUUUAUGAAAUUUUUGAAAAUAGAGAGGAUGUGUACGUAAUUGUCAUAAACGUGAGGAAAAGUUUAUGUAACUUGUUCUACCUUUUAUAAAUAUGAAAGUUUCCUUCCUAUGCUUUGAGAUACUAAACUGUUUAUUGUAGAAUGACAUUUUUAAAUAGCAUAAUCAAGAGAAGGACAAGGUUUUUCGCAAAAUGAAAUUCCUUUUCUUUUUUAAUAUAUAAGGAUGAAUAAUCAUAUAGAAUAGAAGAUUGAGAUAUCUUCCUUGAACAAAUCAUGAUAAGUAGCCAGCCUGUGUGUUUAUUAUUUUUUCUAUUAUAUUUAGGUUUUGUUUGGUUCCCACUUUUUUAAAAUUUAGUUUUUCUUUUUUUUUUUUUUUUAAAAAUCAUUUUCAAUCCCAUAUUUAACAUAAUUUACUAUUUUAUCAAUUUAUCAACCUUAAUAUAUGCACAUUUUUAGUUUUAUUCAAAGGUUGUCACGUAAUUCUUCAUUUUUAUAAUCCAAAAAGUCAAAGAAAGCAUGUUUUGUUUUCUUGUGGUAAUCCAGUUCUUAAACAGGUAGAGACCAGUAAUCCAAACUAGACAUAAUCAUGGAGAAAUCUCACUACUUUGCUGCUGCAAUUCUUUUGAUAGUCACUCUAAUGGUGUGUUUGGCCAUGUCGGAAACCAAUGUCACUACAGAUCAAGCUUCUCUUUUGGCAUUGAAAGCACAAAUCUGUUUAGACUCUUCAGGAAUUCUGUUGAAGAACUGGUCAUCUUCUGCCUUGGUUUGUGACUGGAUUGGAGUCACUUGUAGUUCUCGCGACCAAGAGUGACUGCAUUGGAUAUUUCUGGUGUGAAUCUUAUUGGAAACGUACGGCCUGAUUUGUGAAAUCUCUCUUUCUUGUUUCUCUCAAUGUAAGUCACAAUAAUUUUUAUAAUACUCUGCCUGAAAGCUUAGCUCAAUUGCGUCAGCUAAGAAUAGUUUAUAUUAGUUUCAACAAUUUCAGUGGAUAAAUUCCAUCGUGGUUUGGUUUCAUGCCCGAACUGAAAGUUGUGAAUGUUAGAAAUAACAGUUUUACUGGCUUCAUCC